CAGCGAGACAACGUUGCGUCAGCAACGGCCCGCAGGGCGCUUCUCGCAGAGAAGCGUAAUCCUCUCUCGCCGACCA
rnacentral:sRNA from 1 species